rnacentral:rRNA from 1 species
ACUACGGUGCGCGGCAGUGAGGAAUAUUGGUCAAUGGCCGUAAGGCUGAACCAGCCAAGUCGCGUGAAGGAAGAAGGAUCUAUGGUUUGUAAACUUCUUUUAUAGGGGAAUAAAGGUAUCCACGUGUGGAUAUUUGCAUGUACCCUAUGAAUAAGCAUCGGCUAACUCCGUGCCAGCAGCCGCGGUAAUACGGAGUAUGCGAGCGUUAUCCGGAUUUAUUGGGUGUAAAGGGUGCGUAGGUUGUUUUUUAAGUCAGCGGUGAAAGUUUGUGGCUCAACCAUAAAAUUGCCGUUGAAACUGGAAGACGUGAGUGUGUUUGAGGUAGGCGGAAUGCGUGGUGUAGCGGUGAAAUGCAUAGAUAUCACGCAGAACUCCGAUUGCGAAGGCAGCUUACUAAGCCAUAACUGACACUGAAGCACGAAAGCGUGGGGAUCAAACAGGAUUAGAUACCCCUGUAGUC